ACACCAGACUCCUACGGGAGGCAGCAGUGAGGAAUAUUGGUCAAUGGGCGGAAGCCUGAACCAGCCAAGUCGCGUGAGGGAAGAAGGCCCUGCGGGUCUCAGACCUCUUUGGACGGGGAGCAAGGCCGCCGACGUGUCGGCGGAAGGAGAGUACCCGUAGAACAAGCAUCGGCUAACUCCGUGCCAGCAGCCGCGGUAAUACGGAGGAUGCGAGCGUUAUCCGGAUUUAUUGGGUGUAAAGGGCGCGUAGACGGAGAAACAAGUUGGUUGUGAAAUCCCUCGGCUCAACUGAGGAACUGCAACCAAAACUAUUUCCCUUGAGUGUCGGAGAGGAAAGUGGAAUUCCUAGUGUAGCGGUGAAAUGCGUAGAUAUUAGGAGGAACACCAGUGGCGAAGGCGACUUUCUGGACGAUAACUGACGUUGAGGCACGAAAGUGUGGGGAGCAAACAGGAUUAGAUACCCCGGUA
rnacentral:rRNA from 1 species